rnacentral:tRNA from 1 species
UGUCUUGUAGCUCAGCUGGUAGAGCGUGCGCGUGCAAAGUGUAGGCGGCGUUCAUGCUUGGGUUAGAAUCCCACCGAAGCUA